UACGAGGGGGGCAAGCGUUGUUCGGAAUUAUUGGGCGUAAAGGGCGCGUAGGCGGUGCGGUAAGUCACCUGUGAAACCUCUAGGCUCAACCUAGAGCCUGCAGGCGAAACUGCCGUGCUUGAGGGUGGGAGAGGUGCGUGGAAUUCCCGGUGUAGCGGUGAAAUGCGUAGAUAUUGGGGGGAACACCAGUGGCGAAGGCGGCUCACUGGCCCGAUACUGACGCUGAGGCACGAAAGCGUGGGGAGCAAACAGG
rnacentral:rRNA from 1 species